CCAGUGUUGUUAUUUCUUGUCACUAUCUCCCUGAAUCAGGAUUGGGUAAUUUGCGCGCCUGCUGCCUUCCUUAGAUGUGGUAGCCGUUUCUCAGGCUCCCUCUCCGGAAUCGAACCCUAAUUCCCCGUUACCCGUCACUGCCACGGUAGUCCAAUACAGUACCGUCGAAAGCUGAUAGGUCAGAAACUUGAAUGAUCCGUCGCAGACCGAAGUCAACGCGAUCCGUUCGGUUACUAUGAAUCACCUGAGGACCACCGGAAGGUGGGUUGGUUCUGUAUCUAAUAAACACUGCCCUUCCAGGGGAAGAGGCAUGUGCGCAUGUAUUAGCCAUAGAAUUACCACGGUUAUCCAUGUAGUAAAGACCAUCAAAUAAACUAUAACUGUUUUAAUGAGCCAUUCGCAGUUUAGCCGUAUAAAAGCUUAUACUUAGACAUGCAUGGCUUAAUCUUUAAGACAAGCAUAUGA
rnacentral:rRNA from 1 species